UCAGGAUGAACGCUAGCUACAGGCUUAACACAUGCAAGUCAGGGGCAGCAUUAUCGAAGCUUGCUUGAUAGAUGGCGACCGGCGCACGGGUGAGUAACGCGUAUCCAACCUUCCCAUCACUCAGGGAUAGCCCGCCGAAAGGCGAAUUAAUACCUGAUGGUCUCCUUUGCAGACAUCUAACGAGGAGUAAAGAUUCAUUGGUGAUGGAUGGGGAUGCGUCUGAUUAGGUAGUAGGCGGGGUAACGGCCCACCUAGCCGACGAUCAGUAGGGGUUCUGAGAGGAAGGUCCCCCACAUUGGAACUGAGACACGGUCCAAACUCCUACGGGAGGCAGCAGUGAGGAAUAUUGGUCAAUGGACGGAAGUCUGAACCAGCCAAGUAGCGUGCAGGGAAUGACGGCCCUAUGGGUUGUAAACUGCUUUUGUGCGGGAAUAAAGUAUGGGACGUGUCCCAUUUUGCAUGUACCGCACGAAUAAGGACCGGCUAAUUCCGUGCCAGCAGCUGC
rnacentral:rRNA from 1 species